rnacentral:rRNA from 1 species
AUGACGUUGAAUGUUGAUGGUGGCCUUUCCAAGAUUGGAGAUCGAGGUGCUUCGGCGGUGAUCAGCAGGGAUAGGCAUGGUAUGUUCCUUGGUGCUUCCGCAGUUAUAUUCGAGGGUUUGCUUGACCCAACUAUACUUGAAGCCCAGGCGUGCAACGAGGCCCUUGCUCUUGCCGCGGAUCUUCAUGCUCAAUCCGUGUGCGUUGCAUCGGACUGCCUCGAGGUGAUUACCAAUAUCCAUACUGGUGCCCCACGCCGCUAUUUUGCGCUUUUGGAGGAGAUCAAGCAUAGAAGACGUUCUAUCCAAGAUAUUCAGUUUGUGCACGAGAAUAGAAAGCAUAAUGAGGAAGCUCAUGCCUUAGCUAAGGCGGCUGCUUCUCUCCCUCCCGGGCGCCAUGUGUGGCUUACUUCUCUGCCCGAUAUCAUCUGUAUCCUUAUGUGUUUGAACAUUUAA